rnacentral:sRNA from 1 species
UAGACCGUGAGGCUAAACUUGACAUGUGAUACCUUUUCGGAAAGCCCAAAGAGAGCUCUCCGAUGAAUGAGUAAGGAAAAUGGAAUUCUUCUAUUUGUUUUUUUCCUUCUCCAAAUUUUGAUUGUAAUGUACUUUUUCGAGCCUUUUCAUUAUCUUUGCUAUAUUACGGGGCCAAAAUUAUAUGUUCGGACAUUGUUUUCGAAUAUUUUGCAUGUAUCAAAGCUCUUAUAAACAAGAUAGGGUAUUCCUACACAGGUGGUGGGACCCACGGCAAAUGGAUCAUAAAGUCUUCAAAAAAGAAUAGAUACAAUUGCAUUGCAUGUAGUAACGGAUGCGAUCAUACCAGCACUAAUCCACCAGAUCCCAUCAGAACUACGUAGUUAAGCGUGCUUGGGCGAGAGUAGUACUAGGAUGGGUAACCUCCUGGAAAGUCCUCGUGUUGCAUCCCUCUUUUUUUUUGGUUUUUCUCUUUUUGUUUUGUCAAAAAUGUAUGACUCUAGAACUUUUAGACCGUGAGGCCAAACUUGGCAUGUGAUACCUUUUCGGAAAGCCCAAAGAGAGCUCUCCGAUGAAUUAGGAAGGAGAAUGGAAUUCUUCUAUAGUUUUUUUUUCUACUCCAAAUUUUGACCUUAAUGUACUUUUUCGGGCCUUUUCGUAAUCUUUGUUAUAUUACGGGGCGAAAAUUAUAUGUACGGACAUUGUUUUCGUAUAUUUUGCAUGUAUCAAAGCUCUUAUAAACAAGAUAGGGUACUCCUACAUAGCUGGUGGGACCCACGGCAAAUCGAUCAUAAAGUCUUCAAAAAAGAAUAAAUACGAUUGCAUUGCAUGUAGUUACAGAUGCGAUCAUACUAGCACUAAUGCACCAGGUCCCAUCAGAACUUUACAGUUAAGCGUGCUUGGGCGAGAGUAGUACUAGGAUGGGUGACCUCCAGGAAAGUCCUCGUGUGUCAUCCCUCUUUUUGUUUUGUUAAAAAUGUAUGACUCUAUAACUUUAAGACCGUGAGGCCAAACUUGACAUGUGAUACCUUUUCGGAAAGCCCAAAGAGAGCUCUCCGAUGAAUGAGGAAGGAAAAUGGAAUUCUUCUAUUGUUUUUUUUCCUUCUCCAAAUUUUGAUUUUAAUAUAAUUUUUCGAGCCUUUUCGUUAUAUUUGCUAUAUUACGGGGCCAAAAUUAUAUGUUCGGACAUUAUUUUCGAAUAUUGUACAUGUAUCAAAGCUCUUAUAAACAAGAUAGGGUAUUCCUACACAGCUGGUGGGACCCACGGCAAAUGGAUCAUAAAGUCUUCAAAAAAAAAUAGAUACAAUUGCAUUGCAUGUAGUAAUGGAUGCGAUCAUACCAUCACUAAUGCACUAAAUCCCAUCAGAACUCCGUAGUUAAGCGUGCUUGGGCGAGAGUAGUACUAGGAUGGGUGACCUCAUGGAAAGUCCUCGUGUUUUAUCCCUCUUUUUUUCGGUUUUUCUCUUUUUUUUUUGUCAAAAAUGUAUGACUCUAGAACUUUUAGACCGUGAGGCCAAACUUGGCAUGUGAUACUUUUUCGGAAAGCACAAAGAGAGCUCUCCGAUGAAUUAGGAAGGAAAAUGGAAUUCUUCUAUAGUUUUUUUUUCUACUCCAAAGUUUGACCUUAAUGUACUUUUUCGGGCCUUUUCGUAAUCUUUGCUAUAUUACGGGGCGAAAAUUAUAUGUACGGACAUUGUUUUCGUAUAUUUUGCAUGUAUCAAAGCUCUUAUAAACAAGAUAGGGUAUUCCUACAUAGCUGGUGGGACCCACGGCAAAUCGAUCAUAAAGUCUUCAAAAAAGAAUAAAUACGAUUGCAUUGCAUGUAGUUACGGAUGCGAUCAUACUAGCACUAAUGCACCAGGUCCCAUCAGAACUCUACAGUUAAGCGUGCUUGGGCGAGAGUAGUACUAGGAUGGGUGACCUCCAGGAAAGUCCUCGUGUGUCAUCCCUCUUUUUGUUUUGUUAAAAAUGUAUGACUCUAUAACUUUAAGACCGUGAGGCCAAACUUGACAUGUGAUACCUUUUCGGAAAGCCCAAAGAGAGCUCUCCGAUGAAUGAGGAAGGAAAAUAGAAUUCUUCUAUAGUUUUUUUUCCUUCUCCAAAUUUUGAUUUUAAUAUAAUUUUUCGAGCCUUUUCGUUAUAUUUGCUAUAUUACGGGGCCAAAAUUAUAUGUUCGGACAUUAUUUUCGAAUAUUUUGCAUGUAUCAAAGCUCUUAUAAACAAGAUAGGGUAUUCCUACACAGCUGGUCGGACCCACGGUAAAUGGAUCAUAAAGUCUUCAAAAAAGAAUAGAUACAAUUGCAUUGCAUGUAGUAACGGAUGUGAUCAUACCAGCACUAAUGCACCAGAUCCCAUCAGAACUCCGUAGUUAAGCGUGCUUGGGCGAGAGUAGUACUAGGAUGGGUGACCUCAUGGAAAGUCCUCGUGUUUUAUCCCUUUUUUUCGGUUUUUCUCUUUUUUUUAUGUCAAAAAUGUAUGACUCUAGAACUUUUAGACCGUGAGGCCAAACUUGGCAUGUGAUACUUUUUCGGAAAGGACAAAGAGAGCUCUCCGAUGAAUUAGGAAGGAAAAUGGAAUUCUUCUAUAGUUUUUUUUUCUACUCCAAAGUUUGACCUUAAUGUACUUUUUCAGGCCUUUUCGUAAUCUUUGCUAUAUUACGGGGCGAAAAUUAUAUGUACGGACAUUGUUUUCGUAUAUUUUGCAUGUAUCAAAGCUCUUAUAAACAAGAUAGGGUAUUCCUACAUAGCUGGUGGGACUCACGGCAAAUCGAUCAUAAAGUCUUCAAAAAAGAAUAGAUACGAUUGCAUUGCAUGUAGUUACAGAUGUGAUCAUACCAGCACUAAUGCAUCAGAUCCCAUCAGAACUCUGCAAUUAAGCGUGCUUGGACGAGAGUAGUACUAGGAUGGGUGACCUCCAGGAAAGUCCUCGUGUGUCAUCCCUCUUUUUGUUUUGUUAAACAUGUAUGACUCUAUAACUUUAAGACCGUGAGGCCAAACUUGACAUGUGAUACCUUUUCGGAAAGCCCAAAGAGAGCUCUCCGAUGAAUGAGGAAGGAAAAUGGAAUUCUUCUAUUGGUUUUUUUUCUUACUCCAAAUUUUGAUUUUAAUGUACUUUUUCGAGCCUUUUCGUGAUUUUUGCUAUAUUACGGGCGAAAAUUAUAUGUUCGGACAUUGUUUUCGAAUAUUUUGCAUGUAUCAAAGCUCUUAUAAACAAGAUAAGGUAUUCCUACAUAGUUGGUGAAACCCACGA